GAGUUUGAUCGUGGCUCAGAUUGAACGCUGGCGGCAUGCCUUACACAUGCAAGUCGAACGGCAGCACGGGAGCUUGCUCCUGGUGGCGAGUGGCGAACGGGUGAGUAAUGCAUCGGAACGUAUCCUGGAGUGGGGGGAUAACGUAGCGAAAGUUACGCUAAUACCGCAUAUUCUGUGAGCAGGAAAGCGGGGGACCUUCGGGCCUCGCGCUCUUGGAGCGGCCGAUGUCGGAUUAGCUAGUUGGUGAGGUAAAGGCUCACCAAGGCGAUGAUCCGUAGCAGGUCUGAGAGGAUGAUCUGCCACACUGGAACUGAGACACGGUCCAGACUCCUACGGGAGGCAGCAGUGGGAAUUUUGGACAAUGGGGGCAACCCUGAUCCAGCCAUGCCGCGUGAGUGAAGAAGGCCUCGG
rnacentral:rRNA from 1 species